rnacentral:rRNA from 1 species
UACGUAGGUGGCAAGCGUUGUCCGGAUUUACUGGGCGUAAAGGGCGCGUAGGCGGCAUGACAGUCACUUGUGAAAUCUCCGGGCUUAACUCGGAACGGCCAAGUGAUACUGUCACGCUAGAGUGCAGGAAAGGGCAAUCGGAAUUCUGGUGUAGCGGUGAAAUGCGUAGAUAUCAUGAGGAAUACCAGAGGCGAAGGCGGCUACCUGGACAAUUGCUGACGCUCAGGCACGAAAGCGUGGGGAGCAAAAGGG